UACGUAGGGUGCGAGCGUUGUCCGGAAUUACUGGGCGUAAAGAGCUUGUAGGCGGUUUGUCGCGUCUGCUGUGAAAAUCCGGGACUCAACCCCGGACUUGCAGUGGGUACGGGCAGACUAGAGUGUGGUAGGGGAGACUGGAAUUCCUGGUGUAGCGGUGAAAUGCGCAGAUAUCAGGAGGAACACCGAUGGCGAAGGCAGGUCUCUGGGCCACUACUGACGCUGAGAAGCGAAAGCAUGGGGAGCGAACAGGAUUAGAUA
rnacentral:rRNA from 1 species